UCCCUGAUAGCUCAGUUGGUAAAGAAUCCGCCUGCCAUGUGGAAAACCAGGGUUCAAUCCCUGGGUUGGGAA
rnacentral:tRNA from 1 species